UACGGAGGGUGCGAGCGUUAAUCGGAAUUACUGGGCGUAAAGCGCACGUAGGCUGUAUGACAAGUCAAGGGUGAAAUGCCACGGCUCAACCGUGGAACUGCCUUUGAAACUGUCAAACUGGAGUAUGUGAGAGGGCGGCGGAAUUCCUGGUGUAGGAGUGAAAUCCGUAGAUAUCAGGAGGAACAUCAGUGGCGAAGGCGGCCGCCUGGCACAAAACUGACGCUGAGGUGCGAAAGCGUGGGUAGCAAACA
rnacentral:rRNA from 1 species